rfam:Rhizobium sp. R1-200B2 contig_4, whole genome shotgun sequence.
CCCCUUCCCAGCGGCGUCCGGAAGCCCUAUAUCUGGUUUGCCGGGGCUUGCUCCGGAUAUGGCGAUAAAUGGUCGAUGAAAUAAACCUAUUGGACCCGGGGGCGGUACCCGGCGCCUCCACCAAAAACCGGUCGGUCAGCAUGACCGGCUUUUGAUGGGGGCGAAAUAGGAUCGACAAGGGUGUAAAGAUCGUACUUUUGCUCGGCAUGAUACCGCCGUUAUCGGGUCACAAGUGUAGUUGCAAAUGACAACAACGCUAAGGGUUACGCUCUCGCUGCCUAAUGGCGGUGCGGGAAACCCGAACUAAGUCCUCCUGGCUAGCACCUUGAGGCGGGGUCCGAAGGCACCUGGCAACAGAAGCCUUCACC